ensembl:lncRNA
CCUGGACAUGGACUGCAAUGGGGAGUCAGGACCAUAGGCUCCAUUCUUUGUCUGGCAAUGGAUUUAGGGGAAGACACCCUUUCCAAAUCUGUUUCUCAACCUGUUAAGAGUCAUGUCUGACUUUUCUAAAUGCGGCCAGACACUGCCCUGAAUUCUACCCAUCUAUCCCACUCAUUUCUAGCAGCCACCCCUCUGAUGAGAUACCUUACAUGUACUCAACAGUACCUCAAACUCACCCUACUCACAAUGCCAAACUCACCUACACUCUAAGCCCCCAAAACCUGAACUUCUCUCUGUAUUCCCAGUGUCAGCAAAGGGACAACAUCCAUCCAACCCUGAAACCUGGGAGUCAUUUAUGCCCCUUCCUUCCUUUAACCUCCUUCAGCCAACCUAUUACAAAGUCCAUCGGAGGUUUCCCACCUAAAUCUCUCCCUUUUCUACUUUUCUCCACGUCUGCCACUCUUUCUCUAUCCAAGAACUGCCAUCUUCCACCUACAGUAGCCCCUGAACUGCUAGAGCCCCAGAUCUACUCAAGAGACCUCCCUCCCACCAAUUCAUUCUCCACAGACAGGCCAAAUGAUCUUCCCAAACGCAAGUUCCAUCAGGUCCCCAUUUCCACUCCUCUCAGAGAAAGAACCAGACCUCCCAAAGCUCUGGGGUAAAGGCGGGGCUCCCUCAAGACCCCACGGCCUGGCUGGUAGAGCCAGGGGUAACCCUGAGGCCAACAUCAAUCAGGCAGGUCUAGGAGCGGCUGCUCAGUCCAGAACCCUGGCUGCCUCCCGGGUUCUCCCACCCCCAGGCUGACUCGGAACUGGCUCAGCCUUCUAGGACUGACCCCUCCCCCAGAGCAGGCUUCAUCUGACCCCAGAUGGGAAAGGGAGCUGGAGGCCAGGCAGGGGAAGCCCAGCUGGGCUGCAGCCAGGGGCGGUAUGUGUCAGGAAGGGGAGAGAGCAGGGCCACAAUAGCCUGUCAGUAUCUGGGGCCAGCGGAAAGGAGGCAGCUGGCGGGAGGAUAAACCUCGAGCAGUCUAUCUCUUCCCUCUUAUCGGACUGACCCUUGGCAGCCUCGCAGCCAGUGGAGAACAAACAGUCAUUAACAACCCUGCCCACACUUGCGCACAACGCGGUACAACCAGCCCAGCCCAGAGAGCCAGGGCCUCCCUUCCUGCCAGGGCAGUCUCGGGGGUCCGCCUGUCAGCCAGCCCCCAUAUCCUGCCCCUCCUUCCUGGGCAAUGAAAUGCGGCCCACCCUGGCCUCCCCCGGCCUGUGAUCCCCUGGCCUUUUGGGUCAGGCCUCCAUGUCACGCUACGUGUGGCUUGGCCUCACUGCCAUCCCCCGCUCUCCUAAAAGCCUCUGCUCCACCCACCCUUUCCAGAUGAGGGGCCUCUGGGGCCCAGAGAGGGGCAGCAACUGGCCCUGGGCCACACAGCACCCGUCUCCCAGCAUCUCCCUAAGGAAGCGCCAACACUGGCUCCCUACACUGAAGAGCUUGCACGGGGUAUCCUGCUGCAGCUUAGUCUCUAAGCUGAGUCCGACUCUGCGACUCCCUGGACUGCAGCCCACCAGGCUCCUCUGUCCAUGAGAUCUCCCACCCAAGAACACCAGAGUGGGCUGCCAUUUCCUUCCCCAGGGAAUCUUCCUGAGUCAGAGAUCAAACCGGCAACUUCUGCAUUGGCAGGCAGAUUCUUCACCGCUGAGCCACCUGGGAAGCCGGCAACAGGGGUCCCCAUGACUCUCCUAACCCCUUUCAAGCUUUCCUGUCUCCCUCUACCUGUGACACUUGGGGUUUCCCCCUGAGCCAUGCCAGAGGACCCAGGAACCGGCCAGAAGCUACACAGGUGUGGCCCGGGUAGAUACCAAGCCCUCUGGGACAGGACAGAACAGAGAGAAGGCCAACUGCUGGAAAGCCCCUUGCAGCUGCCCAGGCCUCAGACGGCUCCCGAGAAAACCCAAGAGAGACAGGCCGGGCCCCGGCCCCUCCCCUGCCUUGCGGCACAGCCUCGGUCCCCCUGGCUGCUGCCUGCUCGCUUGCUCGGGUAGAGGACACAGCUCAGGGGCCAGAGACUUUCAUUUCCUCCUGACUCUGGUUCCACUAGCAUAAAACGACAAGUAUUUUGUUUUCAACUGAACUUGAGGUUGGGGGGAACUCUACUCAAAGGUCAGGGAGAGUCCCUUGCAAACCCAAAGGGAUCCUCCCCGCAAAGAGGGAAGGAGGUAGUAACUGCAUAGUAACAGAUUGUUAACUAAUUUGUAGUCGUUUCGCAGAGUAUACCAGUGCGGAAUCGUUAUGUUGUACACCUGAAGCUAAUAUAACGUUGUAUGUCAGUUAUACGUCAAUAAAAAAAGGAGGAAGGAGGGAGAGGGAGUGGAGGAGCAGGGUGGGGCUGCGGGGUGACACGGGCAGGGAGGGGGGAGCCCCACGCCAGCCCUCAAUUCCCUCCCUUGUUCCUCUUCCUAUACCAUCCACCUCUCAACUUCCCCUUUCACUACCCCCUCCAAAUUCCUCUAAACCACACGGAAAACUUGUUGACUUUUUCCUCAUCAGAGCAGUCCCCUCUAGACCAACUAGCUGAUAUUUUGUUGCUGAUUUUCUCCCUCAGAAGGCUACAGACCUGCCCGGCGUGGGGAGUGCUGCCAGCCCUCUAUGCCGGGACUCCACAGCUGGAGGGCUCAGGAGCAAGGGUAGGACUGCUCUCUGGGGCCCCUGGGUCAUGCCCUGACCCCUCAGGGUCUCCUCUGUCCCCCAAGCCCCUUCUCGGGAGCAGGAUGGGCCUCUCGCCUCAACUGCACACAGGCAGAGCUGCUUUCUGCAUCCCCCUCCUGUUCCCCACCCUGAGCCUAGGGAGGAAGAGAAGGGGAGACAAGGAAAAAGGAUGCACAUGGGCAAGCAUGAUCAAACCAGGAGAGACGCCCUCCAGACAGGAGCCGCCUGGGCUACCCGCUCCCGACCUCUGCAGCUGGGGGGAUGUCAGUCAACCCCUUUCCCUCUCCGAGCUUCCUCAUUUGCAGUCACAUCCUCCUUAAGGAAGAAGCCGUUUGAGGAUGUUUUUCAACAUCUGACAGCAGAACUGUUUUGUUUUAAUAUGAUUAUUUCACAAUACAAAUUGAGCACUGACAGCAAAAUAAGGAAAAAUGACAUUUGUCUCUAGAUUUCUCUUGGUCCUAGUUCACCUUAUUGUACACGAGUAGCAGGCACUGCGUUCAUAUCAUGUGUGGCAAAAUACUACAUCCACUAUGGCUGACUCAUGUUGAGGUUUGACAGAAAACAGCAAAAUUCUGUACAGUAAUUAUAUAAAUUCAAUAAAAAAUAAACAAAUUUUUUAAAAAGCACACUCAUUUGAAUGCUAACAGCUAUAACUG